AAAGGGUGCUUGUGGGUGCUAAAUAGAACCAUGGGGGUUCUUUGCCAUGAAAAUAGAACCUUUUGCCUGAAAAGGGUGCCAUUUCUUACACGCGAAGAUUAUUUGAACUUAAACGACUGUUUAUGGAACCCUUUCCCGGAGACGCUCACUCUGCUGCAGUGGAUUUAACGAUGACAGAGCACUGGACUGUGGAAGAUGUCUGUCCAUCAAUUUAAUUGACGGCAAGAUAGUCAAAGAACAGCAUUAAUUAAUGGGGAGACUGCUGGGGUUGACAGAGGGGAUGGUUGAACAACUGUUUCCUCUGAUGAAACACAGUCUUGUUUUUUAAGGGGGGAAAGUUAUGCAAAUCAUCGUUGGUUCAGUACCCAAACCAUAAAAAAUACACUGAUGUCCUGUGGUGUCUGAUCACUAGAUAUCCAUUUCUUAACGACCACAGCUCAUCUGGAUAUGUAUUUUAUUUUUUAACGUUUUGUUAUGGAAAACAUUAUUCCUCAAUUGAAUUCCUAUACUAGCCUACUCUGACUCUGUCUGAGCCUCAUAAUUCAUGUCUUUACUCAAAGGAG